UACGUAGGGCGCAAGCGUUGUCCGGAAUCAUUGGGCGUAAAGAGCGUGUAGGCGGCCCGGUAAGUCCGCUGUGAAAGUCGGGGGCUCAACCCUCGAAAGCCGGUGGAUACUGUCGGGCUAGAGUGCGGAAGAGGCGAGUGGAAUUCCUGGUGUAGCGGUGAAAUGCGCAGAUAUCAGGAGGAACACCGAUUGCGAAGGCAGCUCGCUGGGACGUAACUGACGCUGAGGCACGAAAGCGUGGGGAGCAAACAGG
rnacentral:rRNA from 1 species